rnacentral:rRNA from 1 species
CCUACGGGAGGCAGCAGCGGGGAAUAUUGGACAAUGGGCGAAAGCCUGAUCCAGCCAUGCCGCGUGUGUGAAGAAGGCCUUUUGGUUGUAAAGCACUUUAAGCGAGGAGGAGGCUACUUGGAUUAAUACUCUAGGAUAGUGGACGUUACUCGCAGAAUAAGCACCGGCUAUCUCUGUGCCAGCAGCCGCGGUAAUA